CUUGGAACAGUUUCCCCAAAUUUUAAAUCGACCUAAAUUAGGGAUUUUGAGUAAGAACAAUUUCAGUUCAUAAUAUAGCUUCAGAAACUGGGAACUUUAUUGAUGGUAGCCAUUCCGAUCUUAAAGCGCAUUAUUUCCCCUCAUUAUGAACUGCUGGAGGAAAGUCGUGAAAUUUUGCUGCAUUUCCCUCAAUCUGCAAACAUUUUGCCAAGGGCAGUUCGUUAUUUGUUGCUGAAGACUAAGAGGCAUAUAUACUGAUUUUUAUGGUAAGUAGGUUUCUUAAUGAACUCCUUCCUUUCUUCCAAAGUUUUUAAUUUUAUUUUUAUUCCUUUUCCUUUCAUCCCUUUUGUGGUAAGAAGGGGUAUUAUUCUUUUUUUAUUACCUAUUGUAAUAUUGGAACAAUAUGAGGUAAGAUGGAGAACUAGAUUGUUGCAAGAACUGGAAUUUUGAAACCUAAAUCGAAACCAGUUGAAUGGGAACCAACUGCUGAUCUAAAUCUUCUCAAUUAUUUUCAGGCAUGAAGCUUUUGCUAUGGGUAUAACAAUAAUUCCACUUAAUAGAAGAAAUCGAUAACUAGAAGACAGUAACAAAAUUUCUAUUAACGAGAGUGUCAGCGUGGUAUGUGCAGUGGCAUUAGUCUGCUACCUUUUCUAUUGAGAUUGUACUAACACGAGUCUCUUUUAGGUCAAUGGAAGGUUGUCAUAUCUUAUAGUCUUAAAGAUGGGAAUAAUAGGUCGAACCUACUGGUAUAUCUAUAGGUCAUAGGUGGUAAUGCCUACUAAGUCGCCAGGUUUCAUUAGGAUUUGGGACCAAGACCACUUCAGUUACGGAACUAAAGUAAAAUACUACUCUUAUGUAGUGAGCCUCCAAUAUUAGAUAUAUUUAUGAAUUGAUCUUGUCGGACGCUUGAACCUUUUCUUUUGCUUCAAACUUGAAUCUACAUACAUUUCCAUCAGUGGACCAGUACUGGUGGAUUAGUCCCUGGGCUGUUGGAUGAAGACGUUUUAAUUGUUUUUAAUAAUGUGGUCAAGGCAUUUUCCCACUCCUCACUUAGAGAAGAUUUUAAUAUGGUACUAUAAGCAGAAGGUAUCUUAAUCUCCAGGAAGCUAACCAGUUUCAGUUGCUUUCAGAAAUACAUGUCACUGAAUUCUAUAAAUACCUCUGAAAAAUAAUCAUGGAACUAAAAUCCCAUACUAGUUUUUCUACUUUAUCUUGUACUAAAAGUAUCUGUUUAUCUCGCGGACAUCAUCGUUCCAGCAUUGACUUGGCUUUGGAUUUCUUGGUCACUUGAUAGGAUUAUUUUGUUAUAUUGUUGUCUUAUCGUCUUUCCUUUUCUGUCUAUUUUGUUGCUAAACUAUACUUUUAGCUUCAUUUACUUCUUCUCUGUUCUUAUGCAUUUACCAGUUCAAGCAGAUUUUAUAACAAUAAGUAAAAAAAAAAAAAAAAAAAAAAGGACGUUUGACUGCCAAUUUCCUGCUAUAAUAAUUAGACUUUGUGCUCAGAAUACAAAAUUUCUUUCCUGCAAUAUUUAGAAGAGCUUAAAUAAAGAAAAGAAAGAAGCUUAAUUACAAUCACCAAGAAUUCUCUAGUGGUUUUUCCAGUAAUGCAGAAACGUACAUCUCAUUUAGCUCCGGGCCACGAUCAAGCUUGCGUCCCACCACCCAUUUGACCUUGUUAAAUCCGACACUUUCUAUGAGGGGUGU
rnacentral:lncRNA from 1 species